rnacentral:rRNA from 1 species
AAAGGAAUAGACGGGGGCCCGCACAAGCGGAGGAACAUGUGGUUUAAUUCGAUGAUACGCGAGGAACCUUACCUGGGCUUAAAUGUGCUAUGACCGCUGGAGAAAUUCGGCUUCCCGCAAGGGCAGAGUACAAGGUGCUGCAUGGUUGUCGUCAGCUCGUGCCGUGAGGUGUCGGGUUAAGUCCCAUAACGAGCGCAACCCUUAUUGUCAGUUGCUAACAGGUAAUGCUGAGGACUCUGGCGAGACUGCCACCGUAAGGUGUGAGGAAGGUGGGGAUGACGUCAAAUCAGCACGGCCCUUAUGUCCAGGGCUACACACGUGUUACAAUGGCCGAUACAAAGGGCAGCUACUUGGCAACAAGAUGCUAAUCUCAAAAGUCGGUCUCAGUUCGGAUCGAAGUCUGCAACCCGACUUCGUGAAGCUGGAUUCGCUAGUAAUCGCGCAUCAGCCAUGGCGCGGUGAAUACGUUCCCGGGCCUUGUACACACCGCCCGU